rnacentral:lncRNA from 1 species
GAUGUAAGAACGAUUCCCAAGAGGAAAGUUUGGGAGAUCUGCAGAAUAUACCAUACACGGCCCUUUUCUCCUGCUCUUUCUGUUACCGUCAGAGACUUCAGGCCACUGAAUGGCCCUUGCCAACAAGUGUCAUUACAUCACAUGUGCAAGCAGGAGACACAGAAGGAUAUAGAAAAUUACACAGGCAAAACGGGGGUGGCAAUCUGAUAAACCUAUCAAAAGAGAAUGGAUCUCACAAGAAUUGUCUGUCUAGACCAACUGACAGCUACAAACAAAAGUUCCUGGUUCAUGCAGCUGAAAAUGGAUCCAAUGCUGGGAAAAAUUACUGCCAGAUUGGUUCUGUGCACAUUGUGUGCCUGUGAUGAAGCUGAGGCCCACAAAUUAUGAACUCUUGCAGAAAAAAUUAGUGAUAGUUUCAGCGAAGGCAAGGGAAAAAGUCCUUGUUCUAACGACUCAGACAAGCUGCAGCAUCCCUGGGAAUGACAUCAGCGGGGAUGGUGAGACCUAGGUACCACGAGUGGACAUAAUACAGCAAAGACCAACAGAGAAGUCUUAUCCCAGCCAUUGCAAUCGAUGACCUGCUGUAGUGACAAUUCAUCAAGACUCAGGGCAGACUUCUAGUCCACAACCCCAUGAUGUUCCAGGCCCUGUGCUCAGAGGCCAUGAGGAUUACUGAAAGCAAUUGGUUCCUGCCCUCAAGAUCUUUAUUAUCAACCGAGGAGAUCUGAGGCACAGAGAGAUGAAAGACCUUUAUUGUACCAAGGGCUGGAGAACUGAAAGAAUUCUUCACAGAGGAAAUUACACUUGAGCCAAACCUUGAAGGAAAAGGAGCGUUCGCCAUGGAAAAUCAGGGGUGAAGAACAUCUCAUGCAGAGGAAAGAGCUCGACCCAGAGCAGGAAGGUGUGGGACUGCCAGGCAAGUCCAGAGAGCUGGGGCUAGUUUAUUGCAGCUGGAGUUCAGGGAGGGGAGAGGUCAAAUAAAGGAGUUAGAACAAUGCUGCUAAUUAUCCA